AUAUAAACUGUAAAACAUAACACUUAUCACGCCUUUUGUAAUUCAAUCAUUAUACAACAUAUCUUUUCCUUAUUUACCAGCCUACUAGUAUCUGUGGGGGUCCAUAGGGGUCCCGCUACCCGUUAACCUUUAACAUUCAUCAUCGGAUUCCAGGGCCGUCCCCAUACCCCGUCCGGUAUGGGCGCCAAAACCAUAAACCUCAAUACCCCGUCCGGUAUGAGGGUGAAACGGGCCGUCCCCAUACCCCGUCCGGUAUGGGCGCCAAAACACACAAGAUCUCCAUACCCCGUCCGGUAUGGGAGACCACAAUCCCGGUAGGGUUCCCUACGGACCCGGUCCGUCCACCAUCUCCCAG
rnacentral:lncRNA from 1 species